UUGUUGGCCGGUAUGAAUGGCGUUACGAAGGCCCCACUGUCUUAAGAGGACUCUCCAUGAAAUUGAAUUCGUAGUGAAGAUGCUACGUCCAUAUUGUAAGACGAAAAGACCCCAUUGAGCUUUACUAAAGACUUGCAUGGCUCAAAAUAAUUUGAUUUAAAUAAAAAGUUUAGAUAAUGUGGGACCCGUUUCCGGUUAAUGAAACACCACUCUUUUAUUUUAAGAGAGCUAACAUUACAGGGAUAGUGUAAGUUGGAUAGUUUGGUUGGGGCGACCACCUUUUAAAAGGUAACGAAGGUGAGCUUAAGGUCCGUAGUUAAUAGCCGGUGGCCUGACUGCAAGGGGGACGUCUCGAGCAGACACGUCCUUAGGGAUGUGGACUAUAGUGACCCGUCAUCUUAGUGUGGAAUA
rnacentral:rRNA from 1 species